rnacentral:tRNA from 1 species
GGCGGAUUGGAAAGGGAAGUUUAACCGGGCUGGGGUUCUAGGCAAGAGUUACCUCGGUGCCGAAUCCGUGGCCCGCGUC